AGUUUAACGGCCGCGGUACUCUGACCGUGCGAAGGUAGCAUAAACACUUGUUCUUUAAAUGGGGACUCGUAUCAACGGCAUCACGAGGGCCAUACUGUCUCCUUUUUCCAAUCAGUGAAACUGAUCUCCCCGUGAAGAAGCGGGGAUAAUCCUAUAAGACGAGAAGACCCCAUGGAGCUUUAAACCCAACAACAACUCUGAGUUACUAAACCACAAAAAUUAAUUGAGCCCUGUAAUUGUUGGUUUUAGGUUGGGGUGACCGCGGAGCAUAAAAUAACCUCCACGACGAACGGGACUAAACCCUUAUCCAUGAACUACCACUCUAAGAAUCAGCACUCUGACUUCUAAUGAUCCGAUUACUCGAUCAACGGACCAAGUUACCCUGGGGAUAACAGCGCCAUCCAUUUCGAGAGCUCCUAUCGACAAAUGGGUUUACGACCUCGAUGUUGGAUCAGGGUAUCCCAGUGGUGCAGCCGCUACUAAAGGUUUGUUUGUUCAACAAU
rnacentral:rRNA from 1 species